GUGGGGAAUAUUGCGCAAUGGGCGAAAGCCUGACGCAGCGACGCCGCGUGGGUGAUGAAGGCCUUCGGGUCGUAAAGCCCUGUCGGGAGGGACGAAACCUCGGUAACCGAAUACGUUACCGACCUGACGGUACCUCCGAAGGAAGCACCGGCUAACUCCGUGCCAGCAGCCGCGGUAAUACGGAGGGUGCAAGCGUUGUUCGGAAUUACUGGGCGUAAAGCGCGUGUAGGCGGUUUCUUAAGUCUGGUGUGAAAGCCCGGGGCUUACCUCCGGAAGUGCACUGGAAACUGGGAGACUCGAGUACCGGAGAGGAAGGUGGAAUUCCUGGUGUAGCGGUGAAAUGCGUAGAUAUCAGGAGGAACACCGGUGGCGAAGGCGGCCUUCUGGACGGAUACUGACGCUGAGACGCGAAAGCGUGGGGAGCAAACAGGAUUAGAAACCCCAGUAGUCC
rnacentral:rRNA from 1 species